CUGGGGCCAGGCCUGUCCAGCCACGCUCGCUCCACUGGUUCCCAAAAAGGAGCUCCUGCCAUGGGGGUACAGGGAGGAGGUGGGCUCAGGGCCACCCACCUAGAAAGAUGCCAAGGGGCCCCGGAGAGUCCUGAGAGCUGCUUUCCAGCCACAAGGCCGGAGACACUCGGUAAGCUGACCUGUGCCCCUGUACGGCCAUUCCCCCCGGGGCAUCGUGAGCAGACCACCCAUCUGCUGCCUGGGGCAGAGGCUAGGAGGGUGGGAGGGCGGGAGUCAAGCCCCAGUCCUGGCAGAGUCCCCGUGGAAAGAAGCGGAGUCACGGAAAGGGCGUGACCAAAGGCGUGGGGGUGACCACAAGGCGGCUGCCAUUGGCCAAAGCCAAGAGCUUCUUGGAAGAGGACAAGGACCCCGGCCUCAUUUCCUCAAUCCGAGACACGACCGUCACACCCGCAGCUGGUGCCGCAGAUGGUCUGCCACCCAGCAGGGGCCUGGGCAGAGGACAAGGGCAAGGCCCGGACGUUGGGCAGCCCCAAGUUCAAAUCCAGCUCCACCACAGCUGGCUGCCCACUGUAGGCAAAUCAGGUGACCUGGCUGGGCCCAUUCCCCAUCUGCGUGCUGGGGGGCGAUGGCAACAGCCGCCCCAACAUGGUGCCAGCCGGCAUGCAGGAGUGCUGGAAAACCGGAUGCAGGGUGCCUGUCCUUGUCCUGGCCUGGAGUGGUGGCCUGGAAGAAGCCCAGGCAUUGUUCGGGGGCCACCACCGCUCGCGCAGGCCCUCACAUCCCCACCGUGCCAUCCCCACCUGCUCCCAGCAAGGGCCACACUGAGCAGGGAGCCCUAGAGAGGCCAGCAUUACGGAUCCUGGGGGGCGUCCUGUGGGGGCGUGGG
rnacentral:lncRNA from 10 species